rnacentral:tRNA from 1 species
GCCUGGGUGGCUCAGUCGGUUGAGUGUCUGACUUCGGCUGAGGUCAUGAUCUCAUGGUUCGUGGGUUCGAGCCCCACAUCAGGUU